UAAAAUGGGAUUUGAACCAAUAGAAGAAGAGGAUCCAGAAUAACCAACAAUUGCAACUCCUAAAACUACGAAACUCAGUGAGAGCCAUUGCAAUUGACCGAUUGUUCUUUUUAGUAAAGUCGUAGCGAACAAGGCAACGAAAAUAAUAAGCGAACCCCUAGUCAUUUGAUAAAUGCUGGCACUAGUAUAAAGAAGGCCAACAUUCAUCAAUGUUGAACCACAUAUAUCCAUGAUUGCUGGAAGAGCCAUGAAAACUUUGUGCUUUAAAGGUAGGUGGUCAAGAGAUUCGUAGCCAGGACCUUGUGAGUGGCGUUUAUACAACACAUAAAACCAUAAACAUGCUUCCCCAAGAAAAAUGUUGAGGCUUUGAAGAACUGCCAUACUCUUGAUGGGUUCACUUUCUUCUGCUAUACUGUCUUGAUAUCUAUUUGAGAUGAUUUGUUAGCAAACAAUACUAUUGGAUAAAUAAAAUAGCUACUGACU